CUACCUUCAAACUCGUAGCCUCUGUUAGAUCACCCACCAAUAUCCAAUACAAUUUCACUCCUAAAUCCUAAUCCUCCACCGCACCGCUUAAUUCGACUUCUUCUCCUUCCGCCGUAGAUUAUGAACAAGAACAAUGAAACGGGGCAGGUGCUUAGAUCCAAUUGCUAAAACCCUAUACAAAAUUGUUUUUAUAUAAUUGGCGCAAUGUAUGGGUUUGAAGAGUUUGUUUUUCACGUACUGCAAUAAGAGGCGCUUUUAUAUCAGGAAAGACCGGAGGAGAUAACAGACCAGGUUAAUUUAUGUGUCUGAUUUACUUCUGUUGCAUUUAUAGUAUUCAAUCAAGGAAAAAUAAUAGGCAAGUGAUGAAAAAUAUUUUCAACUAAUUAAUAGUUUUUACCUAAUUUAAAACUUUCAAGUCUUAAAGAUGAUUAUUGCUUAAUUAAAACUGUCAAAGAUAAUUAUUACCUAAUUACAUCAUAUAAGCUUAAAGAAAUUCAAGGAAUCCAUUUAUAAAUUACAAUGAGAAAGCAUAUUUAGGUAGAUUGGAGCAGUUGUCAUGGACAAUCGCUGAUCUAUUAUAGUGUCAGGACAUUUCCUGGCAUCCGACAAGGAUGUAAUAUAGUAAAUAAUCAUAUCCAAGUCAUGUUGUGUUACAAAUUUAUCAUGAAUUCAUUCUAUCUAUGCCUCUUAUUUAUAUUAGAUUUAUUUAGGGUACGAACUAACAUACUCUACUGCAUAAGAUAUGGAACAGCGAAGCUAACUACCAGUCUUUACUUUUGUCUCUACUUUACUAGAAUAUUCUUAGCUAACUAAUUGGUCCCUCAGUUUUAUUUAAUUCUACCAUCGCCCUUGGCUUUGCACCAUCGUGUUAAAAAAUGUGUAUAUUUUAAGAUGUUACAGAUAGCAGGUAUUUGUUGAAGAAACAUAUUACAUAAAACGGCCUAAUGUGUAACGAAAUAUGAAAUAGCAUUCGAUUCGAAUAAGAUCUUUAGCUUAACAUGAGAUGUCAUAAACAGUGAUCUGUGCUUUGUGAAGCUGAUCCCUGGGAUGCUGGAAGAUGUCUUUACUCUUUGUAUUGAACAUUAGAAAAUCAAAUGAUAUGGUAAGAAAUUUACGGAUUUUAGUUAACACUUCAAAGCUCAUUCAUUUCUCGAGCAUAAGAUUAUUGAUCAGCAACUAUUGAUUAUAGAAGAAAAUCAAUUUGAAAGAACAGAUUAUUGACAUUUAUUUAACACACAAUACAGAGUUUCUGUGCAAUUAUUCAAUUUUGUAGUAAAAGGUUGAAUGGCUUGCACAGCUCCCUAGGGGCUCUCUUAAACACACAAACACAAGUAGUUUACUAGGUAUACAUAACCAUAGCCGUAGAGGUCUAUAGCGCUUUUCAACACUCUUAUCCCACACUGUUCACGAAGGCCUCUUAUAAAUAUAACUCUCUUAAGCACAUGUAUAACACUUUUCAGACCUUUUGCAUAGCUCCCAUAAGACACCCUUAAACACGUAUACACUAGUAUUCUAGUACUAAAGUUUACCAUUCAUAGAACUUAUGAUCUCGCUGCCGUGCGAGUAUAACAUUGUCUUCUUCGUGGCUUGAUAUUUAGGUGUACAUUAGUUGGAGGCAAAUGUUCCAACAAAUCCGAAUCCUAUUAUGAAAAAAGCCCCUGCUUGCAAGAUCAGAUAUAGGAAGAAGUGAUCAUUGCCAAAAAGCAUGUUGUAGAUGGUACAAUGCGACAAAAACAUUCCCAUAAUCAACUCCAAGACAUGAAUCCUGCUUGGAAAAUCACAAUGUCUUAAUUACAUACUAGAUGAUUCAGUAAAAUGAUGUGUUUAAUGUUCAGAGAGUGCAAUGCUAUGAAUAUUGCCAGCGCCAACUGUUGUUAGCUUAAGAUGUUUAGGUAAAAAUUAGUGAAGUGGCAUUAACUAGACGAAAAUACCUUUCGCCUACGCGUAAUCGGAAUCUGUUUGAUGCUUUGUUCUUUUGCUUAUUUGUGUUCCCUAGCUUCUCAGUCACAAUCCAUUCAUUGACUCGGUUAGCUUCUAGCAGUCCUAUAAAUGUUGCCUUAGAUCGAUGGAGGGACAUGACAUUCUCAAACAGGAUCCAGAAGACGAGCAGAUGCAAGGACCUGCAUACCAGUUGAAAUCACUAUCUUUUUUGGAAAUUAAGAAAGAAUGCUAUUAAAAGAAUAUCAUAUUACCUUAUUUAGGUUUUUAUUACCUUGGAGUACUGCCUGUAUUCAGAAUGGUUAUGGUUGCCGGAAGGUAUAUGGCUAAUGACCUUGGGAGUUGAAUUUCAGGAACCAAUACGCACAUUGGAAUAACCACACAGUAAAAGAAAAAGGUGACCCAAUGUGCAACAAUCUUCCUAACAAAGAAGAAUGCGUAGAUAACAUGAAUCUUCUUCCAGAUGGACACGCGCUGCAUUACAUAACAAGUUCAUUUGUGAUUUUCCUUGGAAGAUAAAUGAAAUCUAAGCCUUCUAUUUUCCGAAUUACUAAUUUAAAAUAGAUGUUUUAAGUUGUCUUACCUUGCAAAGCAGGAUUUCCUUGGUCAUUUUCUUGAAAAGAUUAGCUGGGCCACAUGACCAACGGUGCUGCUGGAAUCGAUAAGCCUUGAAGGUACUUGGGAGUUCAUUUUUGAUCUAUUAAAGAAUUUUUCUUUUGUGAGAUUCUUAUUUUUGAACUUUGGGUAUUGUCAACUAAACGAAGGUUGAAACAAAAUUACCAUUAAGUCCCCCACAAAAACAAACUUCCAACCCUUUAGGCUGGCCCUGACUGCAAGAUCCAUGUCCUCCACUGUGGUUCGAUCUUUCCAUCCACCUGCAUCAUUUAUUGCUUGAAUCCGCCAAACACCAGCAGUACCUACAAUCAUAACAAUUAAGAAUUCCAUUACUUACAUUGCUUUGGAGUGAUUUCUUAGUAGCUACUAUGUCUAAGUGGUUUAUGCUCAAGUAUAAUGAAACUAUGGUUUACCAUUGAAUCCAAAGAAUUGACAUGUUGAGGAGCCCACUUCUUGUUCGACAGAGAAGUGAUAGUUAAGGGACAUCUCCUGUAGCCGGGUCAUUAGGCAUUCAUCCGCAUUAACUAGAGAAUAAAGCAUUUUUAUUAGCUUGAGAUACAUGAAAUAAAUUUUAGAACUGAAGCCUUACUUAUUCCACACAUGUCCAAAUUUUAUAUGCAUGCAUGGGAUUAGGUGAUCAUAUUUAACAAUCGGACCAAUAUCUUAUAUCUAUGUUAUCUGAUAUCUCAUGGAACUACUGAAAAUAAUCAGAAGUUUUACAUGAGCAUAAUACUGUCAUUAGUCUUACCGAAUGCCCAUCUGGCCUGCACCAAACCCAGUUCAGGGUUUUCAAGAAGGUAAGGAAUAGUUCUCCAAAGAAAAUCUUCCUCAGGUUGGAAAUCUGCAUCGAAUAUCACAACAAAUUCGCAGUCUUUCACAUACUGCUUCUGUAGCCCUUCACGUAGAGCUCCGGCUUUGUAGCCAUUUCUGUUGUUCCUCGUCUCAUACAUCACAUUCACUCCUUUCUCUAUCCAUUUAUGGCACUCUAACUCCACCAAAGUCUGCAUAUGUAUGAGCAUGAGAUUAAUAGAAUCCAACUCCUUUCAAUAGAUUCUGUUGGUAGUGUGAUUAUGUUGAAAGAGAUACCCUUAGGACUUCAUUUGUUGAGUCAUCAAGAACUUGAACAAUGAAGCGAUCUGAUGGCCAUGAAAGUGCGCACACAGCUCCAAUUGAGAGCUUGUAGACCUAAACAAGAAGAAGCUGAAGAUGAGAGAUUUUAUAAGAGCUCUCAUAAGUAAGGUUCUUUAUAUUUAUUUGCCUGGUUGCUAUCUCAACAUGUAAGGUAUAUGAUCACAUAUAAGUUUCAAGAGAGAACUCUUUCUCUAAAUGUGUAAUAAUCAUAAAAUAGUCUAAGCUCUACUCCAACAAACAUCUUCAUAAACAAUAAACAAUAGACAAUAGUUAAACAUCUUGCUUUGAAUUUACUAUCACUCCUUGAUGAAUAUUUGAAUUUCUACAGCUAAAUAUGAAAAUUAACUGGCAUACUUACCUUUUCUAUGUUUCCAGUAUUAUGCAUCUACUUCAUGCUUUAUACAUGUGAGUGGAAAUAAAAGCAUUUAAGUAAAUAUAGUGUCAUACCUCUCUUUCGUUAAACAUAGGUAUUUGGAUCAACACCAUGGGAUAGCUUUUAUUUUGCUCUAAAUCUUCUUUCAAGGCUUCCAGUUUGUACUUAGUGUAUCUUUUCUUCCCCAAAAACUUUACGCUUAAGAUCACAGCUGUCAUGUAAAUCCGUUCAACAAAAAGCAUAAUAGACAUAGCUACACAUAUAUAAAAUGCAACAUAUAGAAUUGGCAUGACCACCGGAGCUCGUAUACGCUGCCAAGCAUCAUUGAGGCUUGCCGUGAUACCAUCUGUUGCUCUCACCUCAGGAUCUUGAAGCAUUGUGUUUUGCAUGGUUGCUGAGAUGUUUUGGGUAAAAGAACUGAAUUUUAGGUCUAAAAAAGAAAGAGAGGCUUUAAAGAGAUGAUGGUAAGGGACUAUUACAAGAAGUGCAUCAGAUACUCCCUGUGUUUUUAUGGAUACAGUGUGUGCUUUAAAUAGAAAAUAGGAAUAUAUUAGGGUGAAGAUGAAGACAUGGCCUGGGGCUUAGGUGGAAGAAUGCGAUGAGUGAACCGAUGAAAUAAAACUCUUCGUAGGGAGAGACACCCGGUGUGCAUGCAAGUAAAGACACUGCAACGUAGCAACUUAGCAGCUGGAAUUUUGGCGUUUUAUUGCCGACAAUAAAUGGAAGUCUUAAAAGUCAAUUGAACCAUGGCAACAAUUACUCCAUUUAUGUCUCAGUCUCAUCCUUCUUAAACUCUAGUUCGUUUUUGGAGAUUGUAAAAUUAACUAGGAAACAAUAAAUGUAUUACAUAUGUACACAAACCUGUUAACCUAGUGUUAUCUUACAACUCAUAUUUUACUUUUCUGAUCUGUCAUUAGUCUUCUACAAAUUUGCCUUAGCAUCUCUCAUCUGAAAGGCCUCACUGCCAAGGUGCCUGAUAAGGUCAAAGUUUUGUUUGCUGUUCUCUUGAACACUAAAGAUUUAUAGCAAAGGGCAAGAGGCCUUAUAAGUUCGUUUCUUUGAGUUAGUGUGUCUAGUGCAAUCAGAGCUCGGAAUUUGCUGACUAUAUAUUUAUACACAUUUUUUUAGUUUUUAUUCGUAGACAAUCUCGAAUAACCAAAAAGAUUUUGUAGCUACCUUUCUCUGUAUCUUCAAUGUGGUCUUGCCUCUCUUUUGGCUUAGAAUAUGUGGGCCUUGUUGUAGUUUUUUUUAAUCUCCUAUAAUUUUUGUUUUUAUUUUUGAUAAACCAACAUCUCCUGUAGUUAUGUAUACUAUCCUACAUUAGGUCUUUGUUUUACUUUUUCACUUAUUCAAUCUUUAUGGAGGACUCCUUCACCUUUAUUGUAAUCUUUUUCAUAAAAUUUCUUCUUUUAUCUAAAACGAACAGAAAAAGUUCUCGACUUUUACCCAUAUUUGUAAAAAAUAGAAGCUUAUAUUCGUUAAUUCUUCUAUUUUUACUUUUCAUUUUCCUAGAAGUUGUAAUAAAUACCUUAGUCAAUUAAGUCACAGGAGAUUUUAUUUUAUUUUUGUUUGUUUAUGUAAUUAAGUUAUGUAUUAUUAUAAGCAAUUGUUGUGUCAUGGCAUAUUUAGCCUUCAUUAUAGUUUAGUUAACAUGAUGCGGACGGAAAUUUGAUUAUUGAGCAAUUAAAAGUUGAGUUUCUACUCACACAAUUAUGUAAUUAGAAGUGUAACAAGAUUCUUAGAGUUUAUCACCGUUGAUGAAACUGUGUUUUUAUUUUGCUAAAGUGAUUAGAAUGACUCAUACUUCGAUUCAGGUUCUGAAAAGAAGCCACACCUGUUUUGGUUUAUGUAGACGUGUAGGCAACAUGAUUCUGGUGUGUUCAAAUUGAAUGUUGUCGUCAUCAAAGGUCAAUACAUCAUAUAAGUUGUCACCUUCCUCAUGUAUUAAUUUGCUUUUAAAGUUAAUGAUUGGCAAGUAAUUUGAUCUUGGGCUACGUGUGUUCAUGACAUUUUGUAUUGCUUGUUUUAAGUGCAUUUAUUAGUGUUUUUAAAUGAUCUGAGCUACUCGAUACUCGACUAGAUUUAAUAACUUAUUUAUAUAUUUUUGUUUUAUGUUAUAUAUUAUUUAUGAUUUAUUUUAUUUAUAAUUUUAUAUAAAUAGUUUAAUAUAUUGAAAAUAUAUAAAAUUGUAAAAAUAUACUCAUUACUCUAUAAUUACUCGAUAAUGUUACGAGCUUACGUGCUAACUACUCGACUCGAUAAGUACUAGUGUCAUGUUGGAAAAUGAAAAUCUAUGUUCAUUAAGUAUUUGAUUUGAUUCGAACUGAUAAUUUUUAUAGAGAGUCAAGCUCGAAAAGUCAAUACUUGACUCAACUUGAUCGAUUCGAUUACAGCCCUAGUAUUUAUACAAGUGUGGAUGGUAAGGGUAUGUUUGUGACUGUGAGUGCAUUUUUAGUAACUAUGAUGAUUUAUUUUGAAGUUAAUCUUAUCUAUGAGAAUGCUAACUAAAUAUAUCCUCUAUAAUCUAAUUUUGUGGCUGUAUCUGUUCCAAUCACUAAAUGAUACCAAAGAUAUCUCUGUAAUGUAGUUUAAUCUAUUGUGGAAAUUCGUAUGCCAUCCACUGUGUUGAUGUUAAACUAUGGUGUUCAUGCUAUAUGGAUCAUUUUAAUGGGGUAUUUAGCAUUUUUUUUAGCUUACAUUCUUGUUAUUUUAAGUGUAACUUUAAUUUUCAUUGCUCUGCUAGAUAUUGCUCUGGGAACUUUUAUAUUUGAUCCUCUCUCACUCAUCGCUUCCUCCAUACAUAUCAUUUUCUUCGAUAUUCAUGUCAUUUAUUAUCUUUCAAAACUAGCGACAAGUGUAAUUUUAGACUAGUGUAAGUUUGUUCAAUUGCAGAGAUUUAACAAUUUAAGCUGCCAUAUGAUUGUAUGUUUCUUCUUUUUCAUUCAUUCUCUUGUUUCCCAUAUGUUCCUAAUUUUUUUUAGUUGGUUUGAGUCAUGAGAGGUCAGGGUGAUGAAGAGUAAUAGAAUAUAAGACAAAACGUGGUUUUGAUUUUACAUUUUUUACCUUAACGGAAAAAAAAGACAACAAAAGAAUAUAGGAUAAGAUGCCAUCACGGUGUAGGCUUAUUAUACAUUUUUGGGUAUCAUCGCAAAUUCUGAUAAUACUGAUAAUAUAUACUGAUAAUGUUAUUGUGCUUGUACGUAUAAUGUUCAUAAAUUCUUGCCUGAAACAUUUUGGAUUAGUGUCUGACCAGUCUGGUAGCAAACAGCAAUUUGUGAUGCUAAAUCCAUUUAGUUACAAGUUACAUUUUACAAAGAAACUCCAUUUUCAAAUUUAAUUUAUAUGAGCCCAAUGUUGCAUUUUUCGUUCUUCUCAGCUACUCAAAUGUCGAUUUAAUAGAGUAUAUUUUUUCCCAGUGUUGCAUGUUCCGUUCUUAUCAGUUACUCAAAUGUCUUUUUGGUUUCAAAUAAUUUUAUUAUGGUACUCUAGUUUCGGCUUUUCUUGUUUUAAUGAAAUUUCAAGAGUAAGUUAUUGUGCCUUCUUGAUAUUUGGAUAUUAAGUGAUUAAGAACAUGAGCACAUUCUAUGCACGUUUGCACAUGUAAGAUUGUAAUGAGCAGCAGAGGGAGGAAUGUGAAUAUUUUAAAGAUAUUUUGUAUAAAUGCUAUUAUGACUGCAUUCAAUAUGUUCUUUUUAUCUUUGAUUUGGUCUUUUAUGUGUGAAAUUAAAAUGUUUAUUGAAUGUUUUCUGCAAACCAAGAAGCAAAAGUGCGCUUUAAAAUCGAUUCAUUUGCAUUAUCUAAAAAUUUCCUAUUGGUCAUGCUUUCUAAUUUGUAAAAACGACAGAAUGAAGAUUUUAGUAUAUAAAUGAUUAUUGGUUUCACGGAAUGACUAGUUUUUUAGACUGAAACUGAAAUCUUUUGCAUUUUUGUAUUUAAAUCUUACUGUUACUUUUAUGGUCGUAUGCUCUAUCUGUCAGAGGAAAUACUCUUAUGAGUAGAUAGUAAUAUCUAAUAUAGUAAUAUGCUUACGUAAAAAGAAUAAUAAUGAAAAACCCACCAUAUUCAAAUUGAGUUGUAAUAUUGUAAAAUUCUUCCUCUUUUAUACAUUUACUUUGAAGCACUUCAAGUCUAAAUUUAUAUUUUAGUAGUUUUCUUCCAACUCUUUGUAUCUCAAAAUAUUUCAAGUUUCAGGUUGGCGAUGCUUGCCACUUGAUAUGUUGAUGAACACACUAUGCUGUCUGUAGGGAUGCUAAGGUGCCUUGGCUGGGUUCUCUUUAGUUUUGUGGGGGAUUUAUAAUGAAAGAAAUGCAACACUUUUUGGGGAUAAACAAUUUUAUAUGCACUUGUUGUGAGAUUUGAGUCGUUUUGAUUGGGAAUAAGAUACAGGAGGCGGUUUAGGGUAUUUCAGUUUCAGAUUUGUUGAGGGUUGCGGUCUUUUAGAAUUGCCAUGUCCCUUAUCUUUGUUGGCUCCAAAUUUCUAAACAGAUUGUUACAAGUUACCACUACAAACGAUACUCCAGAAUUCUUGGAGGAAAUCCCAAUUUCUUGUUGAUGCCAAUGAUCUUUUGUUUCAUUUUGUUGGUAAUACAGAUUCUGGAUCUUCUGUAUUACUCAUGGUCGCUCUGGAUUCUGGAAAUCCAUCUUAAUUAGCUGUACUUUUUGGACAUUUUAUGGCUUCCUUGCAUAGUUGCCUGACUAGUCCAUAAAUUGACAAGUCA
rnacentral:lncRNA from 1 species